AAAACCAGAAACUUCCAGAGACACCCAAAGAUUUGAUCUGCAGCCUGGGAAGAAGCUUGGAUUGAUGGAAAAAUACAACACACAGGCAUGAACAGAAAAAUAAUAGAUAAAGCAGCUGGCCUGCUGAUGAGAUCCUUUCUUCUAUUCUUUUAGCAUAGUUUAAUGCCAUAGAUACAAUAAAAUAACAAACGAGCCCUGUGCCCCACGGAGUCAGGGCCUGUCCCUUCCCUCACCCUGCCCUGUGAGCAGCCCCGGCUGGGCUGGCAGCAGUGGCAGCCCCAGGCAGUGAGGGCAGCAGAGAGGGCAGGAGGAGCCCUGGGUGCCUCUGACUCACCCACAGCAGGGCACGGCUGGGCUGGGGCUGCUCAAACACCAAAGGUUUGGGCAACGCUGGGAGGAGUUUGGGGAUUCUUCCUGGCCUGAAAGAGAGGAGGAAAAGAAAAUUAUUGCACUGUGGAAGUCAAAGGAUCCAGCUUUCACACUUGUGCUCUGCUGGCUCACUGUGGGGUUUUAUCCAUGAGAGGUGACACCAAUUCAACAUAACAGUGCCCUUUCCCAGCAUUUCUAUUCCCAACCAUUUCAGACAUUAAAAGGAAGCUCAUUUUU